rfam:Picea glauca, whole genome shotgun sequence.
AUGUACAUGCCUAAAACAUAACAUUAAUGCAUCAUAUCCCAUUAUAACUUUGCAUUUAAGUGUGCUCAGGAUAGAGUAGUACUGAGAUGGGUGACCGCUUGAGAAGUCCUAGUGUUGUACAUG